rnacentral:rRNA from 1 species
CCUACGGGAGGCAGCAGUGAGGAAUAUUGGUCAAUGGCCGUAAGGCUGAACCAGCCAAGUCGCGUGAAGGAAGAAGGAUCUAUGGUUUGUAAACUUCUUUUAUAGGGGAAUAAAGGUAUCCACGUGUGGAUAUUUGCAUGUACCCUAUGAAUAAGCAUCGGCUAACUCCGUGCCAGCAGCCGCGGUAAUACGGAGGAUGCGAGCGUUAUCCGGAUUUAUUGGGUUUAAAGGGUGCGUAGGUUGUUUUUUAAGUCAGCGGGGAAAGUUUGUGGUCCAACCAUAAAAUUGCCGUUGAAACUGGAAGACUUGAGUGUGUUUGAGGUAGGCGGAAUGCGUGGUGUAGCGGUGAAAUGCAUAGAUAUCACGCAGAACUCCGAUGGCGAAGGCAGCUUACUAAGCCAUAACUGACACUGAAGCACGAAAGCGUGGGGAUCAAACAGGAUUAGAUACCCUUGUAGUC